rnacentral:rRNA from 1 species
UACGAAGGGGGCUAGCGUUGUUCGGAAUCACUGGGCGUAAAGGGCUCGUAGGCGGCCAACUAAGUCGGAUGUGAAAUCCCCAGGCUUAACCUGGGAACUGCAUCCGAUACUGGUUGGCUUGAAUCCGGGAGAGGGAUGCAGAAUUCCAGGUGUAGCGGUGAAAUGCGUAGAUAUCUGGAGGAAUACCGGUGGCGAAGGCGGCAUCCUGGACCGGCAUUGACGCUGAUGAGCGAAAGCUAGGGGAGCAAACGGG